GGAAAAGAUAUUUUACGCGGUAUUUUGCUAUUUGUGGCAGUUGAAGGAAAGGGCUUGACCGAAGUAGUCAAAGACGAUGAUGAUACUGAUAUUUGGAAAGUCGUCGAAUUUAUUAUAGAAGAGUUUGUCGACGUUCUUUAUCAGUUUUUCGUGGAAAUUUUGACAGUAGUGCAACCUGUCCUGGAAAAAAUAAUUGGAGAGAUAAUAGAUGUAUUUGCUAUACUAUUGACACUCCUGCACUCUACUUUAGAAACUGUUUAGUAUUUGGGUGUUCAGUAUAAUUUUUGAGAGAAUUUUUAUUAAUUUUACUGAAUAUAAAAUCACAAUUAAAAUAUCAAUGUAUGUACUGUACAGUUCAAAUUCACUUGUAAUUUUUC